GACGAACGCUGGCGGCGUGCUUAACACAUGCAAGUCGAACGGAAAGGCCCCUUUGGGGGUACUCGAGUGGCGAACGGGUGAGUAACACGUGCGUAACCUGCCCUUGACUUCGGGAUAACUUCAGGAAACUGGGGCUAAUACCGGAUAGGAAUCCUUUCUUCAUGGUGGGGGUUGGAAAGCUUCGGCGGUUUUGGAUGGACUCGCGGCUUAUCAGCUUGUUGGUGGGGUAGUGGCUUACCAAGGCUUUUACGGGUAGCCGGCCUGAGGGGGCGACCGGCCACAUUGGGACUGAGAUAAGGCCCAGACUCCUACGGGAGGCAGCAGUGGGGAAGAUUGCACAAUGGGCGGAAGCCUGAUGCAGCAACGCCGCGUGCGGGAUGACGGCCUUCGGGUUGGAAAACGCUUUCAGCAGGGGCGAAGCUUGUGGUGACGGUACCUGCAGAAGAAGCACCGGCUAACUACGUG
rnacentral:rRNA from 1 species